AUUGAACGCUGGCGGCAGGCCUAACACAUGCAAGUCGAGCGAGCGGCGGACGGGUGAGUAAUGCCUGGGAAUUGCCCAGUCGAGGGGGAUAACAGUUGGAACCGACUGCUAAUACCUCCUACGGUUGGCUUUGCCAGGGGGGAUUAGCUAGUUGGUGAGGUAAUGGCUCACCAAGGAGACGAUCCCUAGCUGGUCUGAGAGGAUGAUCAGCCACACUGGAACUGAGACACGGUCCAGACUCCUACGGGAGGCAGCAGUGGGGAAUAUUGCACAAUGGGGGAAACCCUGAUGCAGCCAUGCCGCGUGUGUGAAGAAGGCCUUCGGGUUGUAAAGCACUUUCAGCGAGGAGGCGUUACUCGCAGAAGAAGCAACGGCUAACUCCGUGCCAGCAGCCGCGGUAAUUC
rnacentral:rRNA from 1 species